rnacentral:rRNA from 1 species
UACAGAGGGGGCCAGCGUUAUUCGGAAUUAUUGGGCGUAAAGGGCGCGUAGGCGGCUUUGCGUGUCUUUCGUGAAAUCCCUCGGCUCAACUGAGGACGUGCGGAAGAAACUGCAGGGCUGGAGUCCGGGAGAGGAGGGUGGAAUUCCCAGUGUAGCGGUGAAAUGCGUAGAUAUUGGGAGGAACACCGGUGGCGAAGGCGGUUCUCUGGGCCUUACCUGACGCUGAGGAGCGAAAGCGUGGGGAGCGAACAGG